CGGAUGAAAGUGCGCCGGAAACGUCAGACUUAUUAGCGAGAACCAAAAUUGAAGUAAACAAAAGUUUCUAUAUGCAUGUUAAGAUAAUUCACAUUUUCAGCCUACCUCUUCUACCAACAAUUCUUGUAAUGUAUUUCUGCAUUCUUCUAAACGUAAAUCAUCCAAGCUGUCAACAACCCAAAUAAUUGCUUCGGUUGAUUCAAAGUAAUUUUUCCAAAAAUUUCUUAGCGUUUUCUGCCCCCCAAUGUCCCCUUGAAUUAGUAAGCUUAAGACUGUUCAUUUCGAAAAUUGCAAGCUACGUACAUAUCGUGAAUCGGAGUCCUUCUACUUCAAGCGUUCGAAUUUGAAAGCCAAAGGUAGGCGAAACUUCAUUUACCUAUCAAUCGAUAAAUUAUGGAGCCUUAAAAGAUACUUACAUCCUCGUUCAACAGGCACUUCAAAAUUGUCGUUUUACCUGCAUUAUCCAACCCCCUAAAGUCAUUAGAUUUCACUCUGUAUAUAUUUGAAUCAUCUUACAGUAACAAAACCCUGACUUCUCGUUCCUUUAGCUUUUGCUGUCUCAAAAUAGUCAAUAAUCCCAUUUCUCAAUAGUAGAGUAACCAAGAAAUAAGAAAAUAUGCGAUGAAUUUGCCUUGCAUUGCGUUACUCAACAAGGGCUUAAGCUAUCAACUUUAUAG